UACAGAGGUCUCAAGCGUUGUUCGGAUUCAUUGGGCGUAAAGGGUGCGUAGGUGGCGCGGUAAGUCGGGUGUGAAAUCUCGGAGCUUAACUCCGAAAUUGCAUUCGAUACUGCCGUGCUCGAGGACUGGAGAGGAGACUGGAAUUCAUGGUGUAGCAGUGAAAUGCGUAGAGAUCAGGAGGAACACCGGUGGCGAAGGCGGGAUCCUGGGCCAGUACUGACGCUGAGGAGCGAAAGCGUGGGGAGCAAACAG
rnacentral:rRNA from 1 species